GACGAACCGUGCGAACGUUGUUCGGAAUCACUGGGCUUAAAGGGCGCGUAGGCGGCUUGCCAAGUCAGUGGUGAAAUCCUGCAGCUUAACUGUAGAAGUGCCUUUGAUACUGGCAAGCUAGAGCGAGGUAGGGGUCUGUGGAACUUCUGGUGGAGCGGUGAAAUGCGUUGAUAUCAGGAGGAACACCGGUGGCGAAGGCGGGUCUCUGGGACGGUACUGACGCUGAGACGCGAAAGCGUGGGGAGCGAACAGG
rnacentral:rRNA from 1 species